rnacentral:lncRNA from 1 species
UUAUAUUUUCCUAAUUGUAAUAUGAUUAGCAAAGUUGUGCUAUCUAUAAAUAAGGCUCUAGGGUUGAGUUGUAACCUCAUGAGUUUAGAGAAAGCUUGUUUAGUUUUAAGAGAGUUUCUAAACAAUCAAUAAAGAGAGUUAUACUUUGUUGAAUUCCUUUUGUUCUCAGCUUUCUAGUUUCUCUUUAUUUGGUAUCAGAGCGGUUUAACGAUCGCCUUGUGAAACACGGAUUCAACAAAGCCGAGUGAUGGCAGAUGUUGAUCCCGUGCCGCGCCAAAAGAAGGUAGCGAAGACCGUCAUCCAAUGUCCUAUGCUAAACGAUACAAACUACACGGUAUGGGCUAUGAGGAUGAAGGUCUUGUUACGCAUAAACAAGGUUUGGGACACCAUAGAUCCUGGUUCAACGGAUGGAGAGAAGAAUGAUGUUGCUAUCGGGUUAUUGUUCCAAUCCAUCACGGAAGCCCUAAUCUUGCAAAUUGGUGAAACCGACUCUCCAAAAAGUAUAUGGGAGUCAAUCAAGUCUAAGAAUCAAGGAGCUGAAAGAGUUAAGGAAGCUAGACUUCAAACCCUAAUGGCUGAGUUUGAAAGGAUGGUGAUGAAAGACUCGGAAUCAAUCGAUACCUUUGCGGGAAGGUUAGCGGAGGUGGCGUCUCAAUCCGCAGCCCUAGGUCAUACGAUUGAUAAGCCAAAACUUGUUAAGAAAUUUCUUAACAGCUUACCACAAUCAAAAUAUAUUCAAAUCAUAGCUUCAUUGGAACAAGUCUUGGACUUAAACAAUACUAGCUUUGAAGACAUAGUAGGACGAUUAAAGGUAUACGAGUCACGUAUACGUGGUGUAGAAAGUAACAUUGAUACACAAGGAAACCUAUUAUUUACAAGCACGGAUUCGCGUGGGUACCAAGGAAGCUUUGAGAAUUCCCGAGGAAGAGGGAGAGGUCGUGGUAGAGGAAGAAGUAAUCGGGGUAGAGGCCGUGGAGGUUUCAACACACAAGAUCAACAAAAGGAGAAGAAAGAUCGAUCUAAUGUUGUAUGCUUCCGAUGUGAUAAGGCAGGUCACUUUGCUUCGGUUUGCCCUGAAAGGAAACAAAAACUACAAGAGGCUAACAAGGUAGAGACACAAGAGGCGGAUGCAGCUCUCUACAUGCAUGAGAUAGUAUUCCUUAAUGAAGAAAAUUUGAUUCCUAAGAAGUAUGAAUCGGAUAAAGGAGAAGAAGGAAUAUGGUACUUAGAUAAUGGAGCUAGCAAUCACAUGACCGGAGUAAAGACUUACUUCUCGGAGUUGAAUGAAAACGUCAAAGGCAAGGUAAGAUUUGGAGAUGGAUCGUGUGUUAACAUUGAUGGAAAAGGAUCAAUUCUGUUUCAAGGAAAAACAGGGGAGCAACAACUUUUAACCGAGAUUUACUACAUCCCCGGGUUAAAGAGCAAUAUCCUAAGUCUAGGACAAGCCACCGAGUAUGGUUGUGAUGUUAGGAUGCGUCAAAAUUACCUAACAUUACAUGACCCGAAUGGACGUCUCUUGGUAAAAGUUGAAAGAUCUCCAAAUAGGCUCUACAAGAUCAAUCUCAAAAUUGGUAAGCCUAUUUGUCUACAUUCAAGAAUCGAAGAAGAUACAUGGAGAUGGCACGCAAGACUUGGUCAUGUAAGCUUUAAAACCAUUGAAUCGAUGUCAACAAACGAGAUGGUCUAUGGUCUACCAAAGCUAAGUAGUGAAAAACGAAUUUGCGAGUCAUGUUUGGUGGGAAAACAAACUCGUCAAGCCUUUCCUAAAGCAUCACAAUUUCGGGCUUCAAGUGUGUUGGAGUUACUACAUGCGGAUUUGUGUGGACCAAUCACACCCGCUACUCUUGCUAGGAACAAGUAUAUCUUUGUGAUCAUUGAUGAUUUUUCAAGAUAUAUGUGGACAAUUUUGCUAAGAGAGAAAAGUGAAGCAUUUGAGAAGUUCAAGAUGUUUAAAGCUCUUGUCGAGAAAGAACUUGGAAAGACCAUCUUUACUUUACGGACGGAUAGAGGUGGUGAGUUUACUUCAAGAGACUUUCAAGAAUUUUGUGAUAAGAAUGGGAUAAAGAGACACUUGACGGCUCCUUAUACACCGCAACAAAACGGCGUAGUUGAGAGAAGAAACCGUACAUUGAUGGAGAUGACAAGAAGCAUUUUAAAAGCAAUGCAAGUGCCAAACUACCUUUGGGGAGAAGCCAUACGUCAUUCUACUUACCUAAUCAACCGGAUACCUACGAAAGCUUUGAAAAAUCAGACUCCAUACGAAUGCUUGAAGGACAAGAAACCAAGUGUAGAUCAUCUUAGAGUAUUCGGCUGCCUUGCUCAUGCAAAAAUUGAAUCCGAGCACUUAAAGAAGUUAGAUGAUCGAUCUCAAACUUUGGUGAACCUUGGGAUCGAGCCGGGAUCCAAGGCAUAUAGGCUUUACAAUCCAACAACUAGGAGAAUUGUUGUGAGCCGCGAUGUGGCUUUCAAUGAGAAGUCAUGUUGGAAUUGGAAGGGAGACGACAAAGAAACUACAAGGAGUCCGGGAAUGUUUCAAAUGAUUUGGGGAGAUGUGAUGGAUGAAGGUCAUGGACCGUUUAUCGGGACUCAACAAGAAAAUGUGGAUAAUCCCGAAAACGAAAACCAAGACACACAUCAAGAAGAUCAAGGUGAUGAUAAUGAUGAAGAACCACAAGAAGACACAAAUGAUCAAGCUCAAGAAAAUCAAGAAGUUGUAGAUCCACCGCAACUAAGAAGAUCGGGUCGCCAAGUGAACACGCCUAGAUAUCUUGAAGACUAUGCCCUUCUAGCUGACAUUGAGUGUGAGAAAUUACUCUUGUCAAUGAAUGACGAGCCAACAUGUUAUCAAGAAGCUAAAGAACUUGCGGUAUGGACUAAUGCAUGUCUUGAGGAGAUUGAUUCAAUUGACAAGAACAAGACGUGGUCUCUAGUUACUAAACCUAUUGGAGUUAAGGUAAUUGGUCUUAAAUGGGUGUUCAAGAUAAAAAGGAACGCGGAUGGAUCAAUUAACAAGUACAAAGCUAGGCUAGUCGCUAAGGGAUACGUUCAAAAAUCCGGGAUUGAUUUUGAUGAGGUUUUCGCGCCGGUGGCUCGGCUUGAAACAAUACGGUUACUAAUUGGUCUAGCUGCUUCUUAUGGAUGGGAGAUUCAUCAUCUUGACGUCAAGACGGCAUUCUUACAUGGAGAACUCAAUGAGGAAGUUUACGUGUCUCAACCCGAUGGAUUUGAAAAGAAGGGAGAAGAGCAUAAGGUUUUCAAGCUCCAUAAGGCUUUAUACGGUUUGAGACAAGCUCCACGAGCAUGGAAUACGAAGCUUGAUCAAAUCUUGAAAGGAAUGAAGUUCAAGAAGUGUUCUAAGGAAAGCUCCGUGUAUCGCAAGGAAGAAGGAGAAAAUCUUCUUAUUAUUGCCGUAUAUGUUGACGAUCUCUUUGUCACAGGAACAACAAUGAAGAUCAUCAAAGAUUUCAAGUCCGGAAUGUCUACAAAGUUUGAAAUGUCUGACCUUGGUAAGCUUACUUACUACCUUGGGAUAGAAGUUAACCAAAGCAAAGACGGGAUUGAGAUAAAACAAGAAGCCUAUGCACGAAGGAUUCUCAAGGAAGCGCUCUUAGAUACUUGUAAUCCUGCUCACAUACCUAUGGAGUUUGGUUUAAAGCUAUCUAAGGGACAAGACGAAGAACCCGAAGUUGAUGCUACCUUGUAUCGAAGAAGGAUUGGUUGUCUAAGGUAUCUUUUGCAUACAAGACCCGACCUUGCUUUCUCAGUUGGAGUAACAAGUAGGUAUAUGCAAGACCCAAGAGAAUCACACGGAGGAGCCUUAAAGCAAAUCUUAAGGUAUCUACAAGGAACAACGGCUUACGGUUUAGUUUUCAAGAAAGGAGGAUCAAAGAAGCUACUUGGAUUCAGUGACAGCUCACAUAAUUGUGAUCAAGAUGAUGGAAGAAGUACAACUGGACAUGUCUUCUACUUUGGUGAAUCACCGAUCACAUGGUGCUCUCAAAAACAACCAGUAGUAGCAUUGUCCUCUUGUGAAGCCGAGUUUAUGGCUGCAACGGAAGCUGCGAAGCAAGCGAUAUGGCUCCAAGACUUGUUAAGUGAGAUCACGGGUAAAGAAGGAGAGAAGACUACCAUUCUUAUUGACAACAAGUCAGCCAUUGAGCUUACUAAGAACCCCGUCUUCCAUGGGAGAAGCAAACACAUCCACAAGCGUUACCACUUCAUUCGAGAAUGCGUUGAAGAUAGGCAACUUGAAGUGGAGUUUGUACCCGGAGAAGAGCAACGUGCGGAUAUACUAACAAAGGCCCUAGCAAGAAUCAAGUUUAAGGAAAUGAGGAGUAUGAUUGGAGUUCAAGACCUCUCAAAGACUAGCUUGAAGCUUAAGGGGGUGAAUGUUGGAUAAUCUUCAAAAGGCUUAAGGCCCAAGAUGACUUUAAUGAGGAGGUUAAAGUUUAAGAUAGGUCUAGAAUGUUCUAAUUAGGUUUGGAGUUAUAUUUUCCUAAUUGUAAUAUGAUUAGCAAAGUUGUGCUAUCUAUAAAUAAGGCUCUAGAGUUGAGUUGUAACCUCAUGAGUUUAGAGAAAGCUUGUUUAGUUUUAAGAGAGUUUCUAAACAAUCAAUAAAGAGAGUUAUACUUUGUUGAAUUCCUUUUGUUCUAAGCUUUCUAGUUUCUCUUUAGAGAAAUCAGAAAUCCAGCUCAUCCUCCUCAACACGCAGAAUCUGCUCGACAAUUACACAAAAUGGUCAAUCAACAACGUCUCCUUGUCCGUGCCGGUGACGCCGUAUCUCGGAUCUAUCAAAUACGGUUUAAAAUCGGCGGAGCAUUUGAAAUCGUCGGAAAAGAAGUUCGCAAUGGAUAAUUACGACAUUAUGAAACCGCCGGCGAAUCCCAACACCACGAAAGGUAGCGGGAUUUACAGUUUCACGUCAGGUAAAGUCGUCGACGUGAUUCUCCAGAACGCGAACGUCUUGACGGAGAAAGUCAGUGAGAUUCAUCCAUGGCAUCUUCACGGUCACGAUUUCUGGGUUUUGGGUUACGGUGAUGGGAAAUUUAAACCGGGAAUUGAUGAGAAGACGUUUAAUUUGAAGAAUCCGCCGUUACGGAACACGGUCGUUUUGUAUCCGUAUGGAUGGACGGCGUUAAGGUUUGUAACGGAUAAUCCUGGGGUUUGGUUUUUUCAUUGCCACAUCGAACCGCAUUUGCAUAUGGGUAUGGGCGUGAUUUUUGCCGAGGCAGUAGACCAGAUCGAUAAGACCAUGAUACCGCACAAGGCGUUUGGUUGUGGAUUAACCAGGGAAUGGUUCAUGAAACAUGUUAGCCCUUAAAAUAAACCCGGUGCUAGAUCGACGUUUGGUUGAUAUGUGUGUUUAUUUCACAAAAUUGCAGUAGUCGUCGCCAUUUAAAUUUAAACUCCUAUAAUGUAUCUUGUUAAUCGGAUUAAGUAAAAGCUUAUAAUAAAUGAUAGACCAAGCCUCUUCACCUCCUCUUACUCAACGAUGUUUGAGCGACUUAAAUUGAUAGUGUUUCAGUCACUAUUUUUGGCGUGGAUAUAUUCAUUUCUAAGUGAUAUAUCCACAAAUAUAAAUUUUAGUGGACGUACAAACUUUUCCACCGAUUAGAAGUCGUCAACAAGAAUUACACUGGAUUGGGAGUGGUCAAGACACGAAAAACCAGAGAGAAAAAAAGCACCAUUUCCUUCCGAUGACCGGCUUUGAUUUAGCUUGUUGUUGUCUGGUUCGCAGAAUUUUGGCCUUCGAUUGGAGAGUUGCUGGUGAAUUCGGUUUGUGUAAGGGUGGUCUUUGCGGAAGCGGUCAAGGGUGGUCAAAUCUACUUGUUUCGAGGUUCCUUCAGAGAGGUUGAUGCCGGAUCUGUUAGAUCCACAGUGUGGUUCGUUUAAUAAUUCCAGUCUAUUUGCUCUCCCCAACUUAGAUAUGUGUCUGCUUUUGUGUUUUUCAUCGUCUCUAUUCCGCCGUUGUGGUUUGGUGGUGGUCUCUCGUUAGUCUCCGUCAAGCCUUCUUCUUUCCGCUUGCUCUUUCUCUUCUUGGUUCAGCCUUGGUUUCCUUCUGGUUUGUUCUAGUUGCUUUGAUUUGUCUGAAGUUGAUGCUAGUUUCAAAGUUUACAGAUUUUCCUAUUCAGGGUGCAUUUCGCGAUGAAUGAUAGCUGGCUCGUUCUAAUGGUGUUCUUGCUCGCGAGAAGGGUUUUUUCGAGUGGUUAGGCUUCGCUCCUUGUCUUUGCUUUGCAGAUCGGGUAGGGAUCUGAAAGCGUUUUGAAGAUUUCUAUCUAGGCGUAAAUUGGUGGCGCUUCUGUCGUUAUCGUUGUCGCAUCCGGAAGUGGUUGAGGUUCAUCUUGUCUCUUGCUUGCUGGGUUUUGUAAGUCUUCGGUUCUUGGUUUCGAGAGGUCGGCUCUCAUCUUAGGAGGAAGUGGUUGUUAUUUUUGGGUUUGCUGAUGGCAUCAUUGAUAAAUCUCGUUCUUAGGAUUUCCAGAAGAUGAAGUUGUUUUGUUGCUUUGAGCUAGCGUCUUUCUUAAGAUUAAAGUUUUGUUGCUAUUGUUCUUAGACUUAGGUUGCAAUCUCUUUCGAUUUGGGGUUUUCAUUUUGUGCUUGGUAAUUUAAGUGUUUUUCGAUUUCAAUUUAGUUUCCGGGGAAUUUACGUUUUCCUCCGGCUUAUGUUUUCCGAAACAAUUUUCUUCGUCCGCGGACUUAGAUUCCCUCGUUUGGGCUCUUAACUCCGGGGAUAUUUUUAUCUUCCGCCGGCUUAAAUUUAUAUCUCAAGUUUCAUUUCAUGUUUAUUAUCAUCAAUAAAACCAGAUGAUAAAAAAAAAAAAAAAAGUCGUCAAAAGUAUAUUAACUCGAAAUAAAAGAAUAUUACCAGAGAUACACAACAACACUGGCGUCCUAAUUAAUAUGGAAUGGAGCAAUCCAAAUUCGAAAUUCUUUCUGGGGAACCAUUCCUUUCCAGAUCACAAAGGAAAAAGACUUCAAAAAAGAAAAAUGUAAUACAAUUUCAAUUUUGCUUGUUAAAUAGUAGGUUAAGUUUCACGAGUUAUUCGUGGAGCUUUCGUCAACUUCUCUUUCAUCUCACUCAUUUGCACUUUAUAGAUUGCAUCUGAUAUGAUACUAUAUAUAUAUAUAUAUAUAUCACUGGUAUAAAUAGGCUACAAAUUAUUGCUAUUGAAUUUUGUUAGAACGGAUGUAAAAAACAAAUGAGGCUGGUUUUAUUACUGGAAAUGUAAAUAUGUAAUGACAAACUGUUUCAAUUAUAACAUAGAUUAGGGAGAUAACAAGUGUAUUAUUGAGAAAUUUUAAUUAUCUCUAACAAGUGCAAAACUCAGAAACUACGGCCUAAAUAUUUAGAAACAUCCUUUAACAAGUCUCUUGUAAUACUGUUGCUAGCCGUCGAACAGAUUCAAAGCAUAUUAACAAAGUUUCGUAAACUUUUAAUUCAAAAAUAAAAAGCGUUCUAGAAAAUUAACUAUUAUUAUUUCAACAUUUUCCAUGAGGUGUGGUCGGGAGGAGGAGGAAAGACAAAUGUCAUCGCAGAAAGUUAUAGACGUGAUGCGUGGUUGUAAAGUACUCGAAUAAAAUUAUGUAAGUUUUAGUUUGACACGAUCAAUUAUGUUGACAAAAUAUUAAUAUGAUCGAUUCCAAUUAGAAUAUCAAAAAAUAUAUAUGUAUAUACACAAGAAAGACGUAUUUAAUUUUUGACAUAUACCUAAAAUAUAGGCUUUUAUGUGAUAGUUAACUUUACGUACAUGUUCAAAACAACCAAGAAAGAGCUUGAUAAAGUUGGCAUUACAAAGAUUGUGAACAUGAUCUCACCGUCUAAGACAAAUUCAACCUUGUCACCCUAAAAACAUGUAACAUGAGAUCACUACUAUACCGAAUCUUCUUGAGAUAUUUUGAUUGUUUACACGAUCACAAUUAUGUCCAUUAACUUUGUGACCAUUCUUUUUUUUUUUUUUUUUGCCCAUUCUAAAACCCCAAAAUUAAAGAAAAAUAAACAAAUAUCCUUUUCUUUUUGACCAAAAAACCCAAUCUAUGGUUUUGCCCACUAUCUCUCCCUCUCUCUUCCUAUAUAUAUGUCUAUGAUGAGCAUACAUCAUCAUUCACAUACACAAAGCCAAUGGUUGUGUGGUGGAUAGUGGUGGUGGCUGUCUUGACUCACACGGCGUCUGCCGCCGUGAGAGAGUAUGAUUGGGAGGUUGAGUACAAGUUUUGGCAGCCGGACUGCAAAGAAGGUGCCGUCAUGACCGUCAACGGCCAGUUUCCUGGCCCCACCAUACAAGCCGUCGCCGGAGACACCAUCGUUGUUCAUCUCACGAACAAACUCACCACUGAAGGCCUUGUUAUCCAUUGGCAUGGAAUCCGUCAGGUUUUUUAUCCAGACUAAUCAUAGAUCUACUAAGGCGCCUAGUAUUUUUAUACAUUAGAAAAAUGUUUUAUAACGAUGGAUACACCACUCACCAUAUGAACUCAUUCAGAUCUUAUAUUUUCUUCUGCUUAAUAUGUAUUUUUUUCCUCUAUCCAUGACAUCAAUAAUUGUGUCCAUUGUAUAGAGUAUAUAUUAUUGAUUGGUUUAAAAUUUAAAUUGUCGUUAGAUGAUAAAAGAAGAAAGAAAAUGGGUGAAGUUGCAGAAAUUAUGGGUUUAGCCGCACAUGCCAUGCAUGAUCACUUUGUCUCUUCUCGAUGCAAUAAUAUUUCAUUUACGACGUUUGUUUUUCCCAUAGACUCUAUUUAUUGUCCCUUAAAAUUAUCACAACGGUUACUAGUAAAUUAAUCUUUAUAACUAUAUUUUUUUCUCUCUACAUAAUUCAGUUUAAAUUUAAUUUCUGGCCAAUGACACUACUCUACAAACUUCCCUAAUUUUGCAUUCCUAAUUCAGAUUAACUGCGUUUUGUGAAAAUAGUUGGGAAGUCCAUGGGCAGAUGGAGCAGCAGGAGUUACCCAAUGUGCCAUUAAUCCUGGAGAGACUUUUACCUACAAAUUCACUGUUGAGAAGGUAACUUUUGUAUUUUUGUUUGUCCCUUAUUGUAGCAAAAAUAAUUGAAUUAUAUUUUUGGGGGAAAAUGAAACGGUGCAGCCGGGAACACAUUUCUACCAUGGACACUACGGCAUGCAGAGAUCAGCUGGGCUAUACGGAUCGUUGAUUGUGGACGUGGCUAAAGGACAGAGAGAGAGGUUGAGAUACGAUGGUGAGUUUAAUCUCUUACUAAGUGACUGGUGGCAUGAGCCUAUUCCUUCCCAAGAACUCGGUCUUUCUUCCAAACCUAUGCGCUGGAUCGGUGAAGCUCAGGUUCUUUAUUUUAUUUCUUUACUAUUUUUAUAUACCAAACACUUUCAAUUUUACAUGUUUCAAAUUUUUAAAAGUUAAAAAAAAAAAAAAAUUAAAAGUUGUUUAAAAAUCAAAAACAAAAAGUGGUCCUUUUUCCUUUUCAAUAGUGGAGAUUGAUUAAGAUAAAGAACAAUAGGCACAAGCAAUAAAAAAACAGCUGUCAUAUUUUAGCUUCUUCUUUUUUUGGGCAAGGCAUAAUGGUUUCUAUAUAUCUCUUUCUAAAGCAAUUCUAGCAAGUUCUUCGAAUGUGAAUAGACUGGCCACUGCUGAAGAAAAAACAAAAGAAUAGAGCAUGCCACGAAGUUUUUUUUUUUUUGAAGGGAGAAAUUAUACAUUUUUCUUGGAGUUUUCUAAUAUUUGUAUAAUUUGUUUUUAUGAAAAUUUUUGAAGAGCAUAUUGAUAAAUGGGAGGGGACAAUUCAAUUGUUCAUUGGCGGCGCAAUUUAGCAACACAACAUUACCAAUGUGCACGUUUAAAGAAGGUGAUCAAUGCGCACCACAGAAACUCAACGUGGAGCCUAACAAGACUUACCGAAUCAGACUCGCCAGCACCACCGCUCUUGCCUCCCUCAACUUGGCUGUUCAGGUUUUACUUUUUCUUUUUCAUUUUAAUUUUUCAUUAUUUAUUACUACUAAAAAAACUUUAAAAUAAAAUGAAAAAAGUAUUCAUAUACAAAAAAUCUGUCAAAGAUAAUAUAAUAAUAGACAUUAAAUUUCGUGGAUAUAAUAGGAAACAUAAUUGAAUAAAUAAUAUCUUUAGCUAUACAAACCACAACAUAAAAAAUAUGAUCGAUUUCUAUAUGUAGACAAAAUAAUUUAAUGAUUUUCCACUUAUGGGUCACGAGUCUUUUGGCAAGUUCAUACCCGACGCUUUUUUCUUGGCUGAAAGUCAACAGAGAUGACCAAAUUAGCCUUAGCCAAUAACCACCAACAAAAGUAGUAACAUAGUGGAGAAUUUUCUUCGUUUAGAAACAAAAAUGUGAUAAAUUAAUAACUACAAAAAAAGAGAAAAUUAAAAGAAUGAUGGGCCAUCCUUAAAACUCUUUUGAUAGCAUUAGAGUAUAGUAUGAGCUGGUACUUACUAGACUGGAAAGUGAUGGAGUAGGUCCACAGUGAAAAAUAGUAGAAUUAUACUAUUAUAUACUAUGGUCUAAUUUCAAAUUUAUGUAUGUAUUGAGAUGUGUGCAUCUUGGUUACGUAUGGAUUUAUCUAAAGAGGUCUCAAUCAAAUCUAACAGUAGGUAGAUUGCCUCGGCCCUCAAUGUUGUUACGUUAGACUUUGACACCCAACUCAUCUUCAAUUCAUUUUUUGCUAAAAAGCCUUUUAUUCGGCUAUUCCGUGUAUACCAAUAUUUUAUGUAAGUAAAUGUUUCAAUUUUAUAGUUUUGGUAGCCACAUCUUGGAGUUUUUAAAAUAACAACAUAAAUAAAGAAAAACCAUAGAAUUCAAAGAAAAAUUUAUCAUUUAUAAUAUCAUUUUAAAAUUUUAUUUUCAUCAUCUUAAAAAUUUUGAUUUUUCUUCACAUGUGUUGUUGUAUCCCUUUUUAUUUUAUGAGAUAAAAUUAAUAUUAAAACAUCAUAGCAUGUAGAUUAGUUGUUUGUAUUAGUGCCGACAGUAUAACCCAUUCGGUUUCAAAAACGUAUAAUGUGUGUUUUCCACAAAUACAAAAACUAAUAAAUUGCAAAUUCAUGAAGGAAAGAAAACAAUUUUCUUAUGUUGUGUUAUAUGGGCCCAUUUACAAGGCCUAAUUCUAUAGUAUCGGUCCAAUAAUACCAAAUAAGUAAAAGUUUUGAUCACGCGUGUGCUGCUGUUUACAUAUGCAGGGACACAAGCUAGUGGUGGUAGAAGCCGACGGCAACUACAUUACGCCGUUCAUCACCGACGAUAUCGACAUAUACUCCGGCGAGAGCUAUUCUGUUCUUCUCACCACCGACCAAGACCCAUCACAAAACUACUACAUCUCCGUCGGCGUCCGUGGUCGGAAACCAAACACAACACAAGCACUCACCAUUCUAAAUUACGUAACUGCCCCUGCUUCAAAACUCCCUUCUUCUCCUCCGCCGGUGACUCCACGGUGGGACGAUUUCGAACGUAGCAAAAAUUUCUCCAAGAAGAUCUUCUCAGCGAUGGGAUCUCCAUCGCCACCGAAGAAAUACAGAAAACGGUUGAUUCUUCUCAACACACAGAAUCUAAUCGACGGAUACACCAAAUGGGCUAUUAACAAUGUCUCUCUAGUGACUCCGGCAACGCCAUAUCUCGGUUCGGUUAAAUACAAUUUGAAACUCGGAUUUAACCGGAAAUCGCCGCCGAGAAGUUACCGUAUGGAUUAUGACAUUAUGAAUCCACCGCCGUUUCCUAACACCACUACAGGUAACGGGAUUUAUGUUUUCCCGUUUAAUGUAACGGUCGACGUGAUUAUCCAAAACGCAAACGUUUUAAAAGGUGUAGUUAGUGAGAUUCAUCCAUGGCAUCUUCACGGUCACGAUUUCUGGGUUUUGGGUUACGGUGACGGAAAAUUUAAACCGGGAAUUGAUGAGAAGACGUAUAAUUUGAAG